rnacentral:rRNA from 2 species
UACGGAGGGUGCAAGCGUUGCUCGGAAUUAUUGGGCGUAAAGGGCAGGUAGGUGGUCUCAUUUGUCUGGGGUGAAAGCCUUGAGCUUAACUCAAGAAGUGCCCCAGAAACGGUGAGACUCGAGUCUUGGAGAGGGUCGUGGAAUUCCCGGUGUAGCGGUGAAAUGCGUAGAGAUCGGGAGGAACACCAGAGGCGAAGGCGGCGACCUGGACAAGUACUGACACUCAACUGCGAAAGCGUGGGGAGCAAACAGG